CGGGAACUUUCAAAAAUGCCAGUUUCAUCUGUAUUCGAGUAACAAAAGGUUCGUUCCAAGCAGGUUGCCAACUUUAUUCUCACUCUUUGCCUAUCUUCUCAUUAAUGGUUUAUGCAAGACAUAAAUUUAUGGCUUAGUAGUGUCAGGGGAAGACUUUCACCGGCGAUUUCGGACUUAAAACUUUGGGGUCCAUUUCCAAGAAUAUAUGAAAGACAUUUAUCCAUAUCUAUAAAACUGUUGGACAUUUCAAAAUCCAAUUUUAUUUUCAAGAAAAUGAUUGUUUACUUGCUACGCUUUCUGUCUUCUGGUUGAAAAUCACAAUGAAAAAGCAUCGUCUUGAAUUCCUUCUCUGAAGAUAAAUAUUGACUACCAUUGUUCCUUGUCCAAUACGUGCGGUUUACUAUAUUCAAUCAUAUUUUCGAAAACAAAGCGUAGGAAGAAAAUAUUAGUUUUUGCUAUGCAGUUAUUAUUCUUAAAGUGAAUAUAUAAUAAAUAUAUCAUUGUA